rnacentral:lncRNA from 1 species
AGCGUUAUUUAUUAUUAUUAUUAUCAUUAUUGUAUAAGACUAUGUGAUUUAUUAUGUUCCGCUAUGUAAUAAACACUGCAAUGGUACAUUUGAUAUUUGUCUACUUAUGUGUGCGACUAUUUCUGGGGCACAUAUGAGUCUUUUAUGCAUCAUAUUUUGUUCUUAAAAUAUGGGUAUGACAAAUGGUUGGGCCCGUUGGAGAAUUGGGUCACGCGUGGGGGGGGGGGGUAGGGGUGCUGGGCUGCGGGUGGGAGGCUUGGGCCUCGGCUUCUGGCCCAGCUGAGAACAGGUAAGACAUCUCUCUUUCUUUUAUUUUCUUUUUUUCCAUUUUCAAAACCUUUUUCUAAAUAGAAUUUUGAAAGCAAUUAAGUUCCAAACAAAUGUCAGCAGCACAAAAAUAACUAUGCUCCAGCAUGAAUGCAUAUACAGUUUCUAUAAAUUUUAAUUUCAUCAAAAUUUAUUUAUUUACUACAUU